rnacentral:rRNA from 1 species
UACGUAGGGCGCAAGCGUUGUCCGGAAUUAUUGGGCGUAAAGAGCUCGUAGGUGGCUUGUCACGUCGGGUGUGAAAGCUUGGGGCUUAACUCCAGGUCUGCAUUCGAUACGGGCUGGCUAGAGGUAGGUAGGGGAGAACGGAAUUCCUGGUGUAGCGGUGAAAUGCGUAGAUAUCAAGAGGAACACCUGAGGUGAAGACGGGUUGCUGGGCUGACACUGACGCUGAGGCGCGAAAGCUAGGGGAGCAAACGGG